rnacentral:rRNA from 1 species
CUACGGGAGGCAGCAGUAGGGAAUAUUGCUCAAUGGGGGAAACCCUGAGGCAGCAACGCCGCGUGGAGGAUGAAGGUUUUCGGAUUGUAAACUCCUUUUGUUAGAGAAGAUAAUGACGGUAUCUAACGAAUAAGCACCGGCUAACUCCGUGCCAGCAGCCGCGGUAAU